rnacentral:rRNA from 1 species
UGUAAGAUGACAAGUAUGGAAACAUACCUUCUUCGGACAGCUUACAAGGUGCUGCAUGGUUGUCGUCAGCUCGUGCCGUGAGGUGUUAGGUUAAGUCCUUUAACGAGCGCAACCCUUAUCAUUAGUUGCCAACGAGUUAAGUCGGGGACUCUAAUGAGACUGCCAGUGUAAACUGUGAGGAAGGUGGGGAUGACGUCAAAUCAUCACGGCCCUUACGACCUGGGCCACACACGUGCUACAAUGGUCGGUACAGAGGGGGAGCUACUACGCAAGUAGAUGCAAAUCUUUAAAGCCGAUCUCAGUUCGGAUUGGAGUCUGCAAUUCGACUCUAUGAAGUUGGAAUCGCUAGUAAUCGCAAAUCAGACACGUUGCGGUGAAUACGUUCCCGGGCCUUGUACACACCGCCCGUCAAGCCAUGGAAGUUUGGAAUACCUGAAGUCGGUAAAUGUAAAAAAGCUGCCUAAGGUAAAACAAGUAACUAGGGCUAAGUCGUAACAAGGUAGGCGUAGUGCU